CAGGCAGGCAGGCAGGCUACAAAGGAGGAAGGAAGGAGGCAGGGUGGCCAGUGCUGGCUGCCCUUGCCCACAACAGCUCUGCCUAGCCUUUGACUCCUCAGGCUUAGUAAUGGAGAAACCAGCACUGGCCAGUGAGGACUGCUGGGGCAUCCUCUUCCCCACCUUCCCAGGAGUACUGAAAGACCUAUAUGCCCUGAAAGGAAGUCAAGAAAGAAGGCACCCAGGAGUUGUGUGGCAUCAUCUGGAUUUCUUCGAGGUGGCACAGUCAGUGACCAGGGAGUUAGGUGCAGGAUGUUUUAGCAGGUAGGAAUUGUCCUUCUUUUGGAUGUGAUAUAAGUUCUCUAAGCGUUUGGAGGUUGGCGUUGAUAUAUAAACGACUUCCCACACACACUUUGCUUCCCUGGAGAUAACUGGGAGAA